CGGACGGGUGAGUAACGCGUGAGAAUCUGCCCUCAGGAGGGGGAUAACGGCUGGAAACGGCCGCUAAUACCCCAUAUGCCGAGAGGUGAAAUGAAUUUCGCCUGAGGAUGAGCUCGCGUCUGAUUAGCUAGUUGGUAGGGUAAAGGCCUACCAAGGCUUCGAUCAGUAGCUGGUCUGAGAGGAUGAUCAGCCACACUGGGACUGAGACACGGCCCAGACUCCCACGGGAGGCAGCAGUGGGGAAUUUUCCGCAAUGGGCGAAAGCCUGACGGAGCAACGCCGCGUGAGGGAUGAAGGCCUCUGGGCUGUAAACCUCUUUUAUCAAGGAAGAAGAUCUGACGGUACUUGAUGAAUAAGCCACGGCUAAUUCCGUGCCAGCAGCCGCGGUAAUACGGGAGUGGCAAGCGUUAUCCGGAAUUAUUGGGCGUAAAGCGUCCGCAGGCGGUCUUGUAAGUCUGUCGUUAAAGCGUGGAGCUUAACUCCAUUUCAGCGAUGGAAACUGCAAGACUAGAGUGUGGUAGGGGCAGAGGGAAUUCCCGGUGUAGCGGUGAAAUGCGUAGAUAUCGGGAAGAACACCAGUGGCGAAGGCGCUCUGCUGGGCCAUAACUGACGCUCAUGGACGAAAGCCAGGGGAGCGAAAGGGAUUAGAUACCCCUGUAGUC
rnacentral:rRNA from 1 species